rnacentral:rRNA from 1 species
AUGAUGAAUGUGCUCUCCAGCGGCAACCCCCAGAACCUUCGCAUAAUCCAUCACCACCAUCAACACGACAUUUUAUUAUGUCCACGGCGGAGCAGCUCGUCCCAGCUCGCACUCAUCGCAAAUCCUCCUAGCCGCACCAGGAGGCCAUCUUCCGGCUCCUUCCGCCGCGGCGCCGUCGUCCCGGUCAGGGCCGUCGCCGACGGCGGCGGCGAAUCCAGCAGCGGCAAAGACGACGACGACGACGACGACCAAGAGAAGAAGCGAAGAAAAGACGACGAGGAGGGGACGUCGUCGUCGUCGGCGUCGUCGAGGCGGAACCGGGAGGAGCUGGAGCGGCUGGUGGGGGCGCCGGGCGACGACGGCUUCAGCGGGCUCGACCUGGCCACGCUCAUCCGGAAGCGCUACGGGCGGAGCUACGACGUGACGCUCAUCCGCAAGGAGUUCAUGGGGCGGAACCUGCUGGCGAUGAACGUGAUGUGGAAGUACCGGGAGCAGCGCUCCUUCCCGCUGACGGAGGAGGAGUACCUGCUCCGCCUGGACGACGUGGCCAACACGCUCCGCUCCUGGGGCGCCGUCGCCCACGUCCGCAACUCCCUCGAGACCACCAAGGACCGCCCCCGCAUCGGCAAGGCCGUCAGCAUCUUCAUCGACGUCGACUCCGCCGGCGGCGGCAACCGCUCCGACGAAUGGAUCUACAAGUGA